UAAUGCUGUGCUAUACCCCAAACACACCAAGUCAGGUCUGAUCUUGGUGGCUAAGCAGGGUCAGCCUUGGUUAGUAGAUGGAUGGGAGACCACCAACGAAUACCAGGUACUGUAAGCU
rnacentral:rRNA from 1 species